CCCCUGUAGCUCAGAGGAUCAAGAGCGGCCGGCUCCUACCCGGCAGGUCCCCGGUUCGAUCCCCGGCAGGGGAA
rnacentral:tRNA from 1 species